rnacentral:rRNA from 1 species
GUCAUGGUUAAGUGGGAAACGAUGUGGGAAGGCAUAGACAGCCAGGAUGUUGGCUUAGAAGCAGCCAUCAUUUAAAGAAAGCGUAAUAGCUCACUGGUCGAGUCGGCCUGCGCGGAAGAUGUAACGGGGCUAAAUCAUGCACCGAAGCUGUGGCAGCGACACUUAGUGUUGUUGGGUAGGGGAGCGUUCUGUAAGCCAUUGAAGGUGAGCUGUGAGGUUUGCUGAAGGCAUCAGAAGUGCGAAUGCUGACAUAAUUAACGAUAAAGCGGGUGAAAAGCCCGCUCGCCGGAAGACUAAGGGUUCCUGUCCAACGUUAAUCGGGGCAGGGUGAGUCGACCCCUAAGGCGAGGCCGAAAGGUGUAGUCGAUGGGAAACAGGUUAAUAUUCCUGUACUUGGUGUUACUGCGAAGGGGGGGACGGAGAAGGCUAUGUCAUCCGGGCGACGGUUGUCCCGGUUUAAGCGUGUAGGUGGGUAACUUUGGUAAAUCCGGGUUGCUAUUAAACACUGAGGCGUGA